rnacentral:rRNA from 1 species
AAACCAGCACCUCAAGUGGUCAGGAGGAUUAUUGGGCCUAAAGCAUCCGUAGCCGGCUCUGUAAGUUUUCGGUUAAAUCUGUACGCUUAACGUACAGGCUGCCGGGAAUACUGCAGAGCUAGGGAGUGGGAGAGGUAGACGGUACUCGGGAGGAAGUGGUAAAAUGCUUUGAUCUCUCGAUGACCACCUGUGGCGAAGGCGGUCUACCAGAACACGUCCGACGGUGAGGGAUGAAAGCUGGGGGAGCAAACCGGAUUAGAAACCCCAGUAGUCC